rnacentral:rRNA from 1 species
CCUACGGGAGGCAGCAGUGGGGAAUUUUGGACAAUGGGCGCAAGCCUGAUCCAGCAAUGCCGCGUGAGUGAAGAAGGCCUUCGGGUUGUAGAGCUCUUUUGUCAGGGAAGAAACGGUUGGGGCUAAUAUCCUCAGCUAAUGACGGUACCUGAAGAAUAAGCACCGGCUAACUACGUGCCAGCAGCCGCGGUAAUACGUAGGGUGCAAGCGUUAAUCGGAAUUACUGGGCGUAAAGCGUGCGCAGGCGGUUUUGUAAGUCUGUCGUGAAAGCCCCGGGCUUAACCUGGGAAUUGCGAUGGAGACUGCAAGGCUUGAAUCUGGCAGAGGGGGGUAGAAUUCCACGUGUAGCAGUGAAAUGCGUAGAGAUGUGGAGGAACACCGAUGGCGAAGGCAGCCCCCUGGGUCAAGAUUGACGCUCAUGCACGAAAGCGUGGGGAGCAAACAGGAUUAGAUACCCUGGUAGUCCACGCCCUAAACGAUGUCUACUAGUUGUCGGGUCUUAAUUGACUUGGUAACGCAGCGUACGCGUGAAGUAGACCGCCGNGGGUAAGGUACGGUCGCGAAGUAAGUUAAAACGUUAAAGUUAAGUUAAGUUAGACGGCGUUGAGACGUUGCCGACGGACGACGACGAGGGAGGAGG